rfam:Schistosoma margrebowiei strain Zambia genome assembly, scaffold: SMRZ_contig0000024
AUCCAGCUGGCGAGUCCCAAAUAGGACGAAACGUGCGUCCUGGAU